GAUGAAGAACGUAGCGAAAUGCGAUAAGUAAUGUGAAUUGCAGAAUUCCGUGAAUCAUCGAAUCUUUGAACGCACAUUGCGCCCCCUGGCAUUCCGGGGGGCAUGCCUGUCCGAGCGUCAUUUCUGCCCUCAAGCACGGCUUGUGUGUUGGGUGCGGUCCCCCCGGGGACCCGCCCGAAAGGCAGCGGCGACGUCCGUCUGGUCCUCGAGCGUAUGGGGCUUUGUCACUCGCUCGGGAAGGACCUGCGGGGGUUGGUCACCACCAUAUUUUUACCACGGUUGACCUCGGAUCAGGUAGGAGUUACCCGCUGAACUUAAGCAUAUCAAUAAGCGGAGGA
rnacentral:misc_RNA from 1 species